GGCCGGUGGAGGAGCUGCACUGCCCGGCCGGGAGCACCGGGAGCGGCGGGGACACCGCGGGCAGCGGGAACUCCGCGGGCAGCGGGAACUCCGCGGGCAGCGGGAACUCCGCGGGCAGCGGGAACUCCGCGGGCAGCGGGAGCGGCGGUGCCGGACCGCAGGAACCCGGAAGCAGCGGCGCUUCAGCCGCGGCAGUGCGCAGGCGCGGGGACAGAAGCGACCAAUCGCAGCUGGCGGCGCGGCGAUGACGUCACAGGGACUGUGAGGGGGCCGGGCUCCGAGAAAAGGCGCCGGAGGAACCGGGAGCGGCUCUGGGUCCGGGAGCGGUUCUGGAGCACGGGAGAGAUUCUGGGGGCCGUGCCCGUGCUGUGAAGAGCUGGCGCUGUGCUGCUGCCGGGUGAGAUUUCCAGGCUGGAUCUGCUUGAGGGACCUGGAGGAGGCGGCUGUGGCCCUGUUCGUGUCCUGGAGCUGGAGGAGAAGGAUGGAAACCCGGUCAUGAAUCCUCCCCAAAGGAAGAGUUGGAGGUGGUCAAGAGAAGGAGCUGCUCCAGGCUGUGAUUUAUCCAUUAUGAGCUUCCCCAAAACGUAUUCUGCUGCUGGCUGGCUGCUGCUGCCACACUCCACACAUCCAGCAUGGAAAGGGGGAAUCUCCAGCCCUGGCCCUGGGUUGGGGUGAAUGUUGCGCUGAUUUGCAGCCGGAUGCACACUGAGGGUUGAGGCAGCACUCUGGUUGGCAUCCAGAUCUCCACAAGCUCAUUAGCAGCUCAUUAGCAAGCUGUACUUGCCCAGUGUAAUCCUGACAGCUUUUUGGGAGCAUUCUGCAGCCUUCAAAGCAGGAGAUAAGACAGGAAUGUUGCAGGAAGGGAGGAUGUUGUGGCUGGGGACACAGCACAGGCAUGCCUGGCUUUCCAAGCUGGGAAGAGAAGGAAAUCUCCAUGUGCUGCUGGAGGCUCUCUCUGGCAAGGCACAUGCCUCUGAUCAUCCCUGAGCCCCUCCUUGAUUAUUUGGAGUUGCUGCCCGAGCUGCCUGCACAGCUCUGUGACAUCCCUGUGUUCUCAGGGAGUGCCACCCUGGGCACUGGGAUGAGCUCUAAGGUGUUUCCAACCCAAACCAGUCUGGGAUUUGGUAAUGAAUGACUUUGUGCUAAUUACCCAGAGCAGCACUGGCACAAAGACUUCAUGCCCUUGGCACGCCUCACCUCCUGCAGAGGAUUUUACUGAUUUUUGGGGUGUUGGAAGGACUGAGUGCUACACACAAGGCAAUGCUGCAUAAAUGUUAUUUUAAAGUAACAUUUAUUGAUCCCCUGCAGUCAGAGUGGGAUCAAGGACAUGAAGGCCUGGCUGGUGACUUCUCCUGUUUUAGAAUUGCCCAGAGCUCUAAAGGUGCCUCACUUCCCUGGGCACAGAUAGGUGGGAGCACUGACAGCCCUUUGUGCUUCUGUGAAACACCUUCCUGCUCAUUUUGUGGCUCUCUGUUCCAUAAAAGAGAUGGAAAUGUUCAGUGUGUGAAGAAAACCCUUCAGUGAAGGCAGGGAGAGCCUUGGAACAAAGUCUUGGCCUUUGCUGAGCCUGAGUACAGCUUUGCUCAGAGCAGGGAACCCCAGGCUGCUUUUUUGUACCCAUUUUACAUAAAAUGUUUCAGUCUCUUGAGUUUUGGUCACUCAGUUUGGGGUUUUUCUCCUUGACACUAAGGAUUCUCUGGGGUCACUGGUUUGUUUCAGAGCAGUACUGGAGCCAAUUAAACAAUACUUGGUGGUGAA